AGGAGGGAAACCAACAACGGCUUAUCUUCAACUCCAGCGCACAAACACAUACACACUCUUAUCUGUAUCUCUUAAUUCAAAUGGAACACUUGUCCUUGAGUUCCUCUUCGCAAAAUGAAACCCAAACCGACAAUGCGGGAUUGCCCGAGAAAAAAAUCGGAAUCCAAGGGCUAAGGAAAAAGAUUGUGAAGAAGGGAAAUUCAUGGCAAACUCCAUUUCCUGGAGAUGAAGUGGAAGUUCAUUUCAAUGGAUAUAUCGAGGGUGGGGCAAUUCUUGAGUCAAGUCGUGAUAAAGGGAUUCCCUUCAAGUUCAAAUUAGGCCAGGGUAAGUAGAGCUAAUCAAUCCAUAUCAAUGGCGGUAUGUCUAUAUUGUUGGCUACAUAGAUGAUAAGUUUUUGUUUGGUGUUUGGGUUCUAGGUGAAGUAAUCGAAGGAUGGGAUGAAGGGGUUGCCACCAUGAAGAAUGGAGAAAGAGCAAUUUUUACGGUACCGCCAAACUUGGCCUACGGGGAGGCUGGUUCUCCACCACUGAUUCCUCCCAAUGCAACUCUUGUUUUUGAUGUUGAGAUGGUGUCUUGGAGUAGCAUCAGGGAUUUAACAGGCGAUGGAGGAAUAUUGAAGAAGAUAAUGAAGGAGGGUGAAGGAUGGGCUACACCAAGAGAUGGAGAUGAAGUUUUAGGUAAACUUCUGCUCUUGUAAUCAUAAACUUGUUGAAGCUAGGGAAACAUCUGCUCUUGUAAUCAUAAACUUCUGCUGUAUAAUUAACUCUAAAUCACACUUUGACUUUUAUAAUGAGUGGUUUAUCUGCAAAAUAGUAAUGCAUUUCCGUCUCUGCAGUGAAGUGUGAGGCAAGGAUUGAGACUGGAAUGCUUGUCUCCAAAUCC